UUCGGAGGUAACGGUGUUUGGGUGGAUCAUUGCUCGUUGUCGAACUGCAACGAAGGGCUGAUCAACCCCAUUCACGGCUCCACCGCCAUCACCAUUUCGAAUAACUACUUGACACAUCAUAAAAAGGUCAUGCUAUUGGAACAUAGUGACACUUAUAAACCAGAUAAGAACAUGCAAGUCACCAUUGCCUUUAAUCACUUCGGAGAAGGGCUUGUACAAAGAAUGCCAAGAUGUAGGCAUGGAUAUUUCCACGUGGUGAACAAUGAUUAUACGCAUUGAGAAAUGUAUGCAAUCGGAGGCAGUGCCGAUCCUAUAAUCAACCGCCAAGGCAAUAGAUUCCUUGCACCAAAUGAUGCAGACAACAAAGAGGUGACAAAACAUGAGGAUGCACCACAAAGCCAAUGGAAGCAUUGGAAUUGGAGAUCGGAAGGGGAUCGAUGUUGAACGGAGCGUUCU